GUUUGCCUACGGGGCGCAGCAGUAGGGAAUUUUCGUCAAUGGGCGCAAGCCUGAACGAGCAAUGCCGCGUGAACGAGGAAGGUCUUCGGAUCGUAAAGUUCUGUUGAAGGGGAAAAAGAGCGGAGAGAGGAAAUGGUCUCCGAUUGAUAUUACCCUUCGAGGAAGUCACGGCUAACUACGUGCCAGCAGCCGCGGUAAUACGUAGGGGGCAAGCGUUAUCCGGAUUUACUGGGUGUAAAGGGAGCGUAGACGGCAGUGCAAGUCUGGAGGGAAAGGCGGGGGCUCAACCCCCGGCCUGCUCUGGG
rnacentral:rRNA from 1 species